rnacentral:rRNA from 1 species
UACAGAGGUCCCAAGCGUUGUUCGGAUUCACUGGCGUAAAGGGCGCGUAGGUGGCGGGACAAGCGUGCGGUGAAAGCCUGGGGCUCAACCCCGGGUCGGCCGUGCGAACUGUUUUGCUUGAGCACUGUAGAGGCAGGCGGAAUUCCGGGUGUAGCGGUGGAAUGCGUAGAGAUCCGGAAGAACACCGGUGGCGAAGGCGGCCGCUGGGCAGUAGCUGACACUGAGGCGCGACAGCGUGGGGAGCAAACAGG